UACGAAGGGGGCUAGCGUUGUUCGGAAUUACUGGGCGUAAAGGGCGCGUAGGCGGUGUGUCAAGUCAGGCGUGAAAGCCCCGGGCUCAACCUGGGAACAGCGCUUGAGACUGGCACGCUCGAGUUCGGGAGAGGAUGGUGGAAUUCCCAGUGUAGCGGUGAAAUGCGUAGAUAUUGGGAAGAACACCGGUGGCGAAGGCGGCCAUCUGGACCGGAACUGACGCUGAGGCGCGAAAGCCAGGGGAGCGAAUGGG
rnacentral:rRNA from 1 species